GCUCGUAGGUGGUUUGUCGCGUUGUUCGUGAAAUCUCACGGCUUAACUGUGAGCGUGCGGGCGAUACGGGCAGACUUGAGUACUGCAGGGGAGACUGGAAUUCCUGGUGUAGCGGUGGAAUGCGCAGAUAUCAGGAGGAACACCGGUGGCGAAGGCGGGUCUCUGGGCAGUAACUGACGCUGAGGAGCGAAAGCGUGGGGAGCGAACAGGAUUAGAUACCCUGGUAGUCCACGCCGUAAACGGUGGGUACUAGGUGUGGGUUUCCUUCCUUGGGAUCCGUGCCGUAGCUAACGCAUUAAGUACCCCGCCUGGGGAGUACGGCCGCAAGGCUAAAACUCAAAGAAAUUGACGGGGGCCCGCACAAGCGGCGGAGCAUGUGGAUUAAUUCGAUGCAACGCGAAGAACCUUACCUGGGUUUGACAUGCACAGGACGCCGGCAGAGAUGUCGGUUCCCUUGUGGCCUGUGUGCAGGUGGUGCAUGGCUGUCGUCAGCUCGUGUCGUGAGAUGUUGGGCUAAGUCCCGCAACGAGCGCAACCCUUGUCUCAUGUUGCCAGCGGGUAAUGCCGGGGACUCGUGAGAGACUGCCGGGGUCAACUCGGAGGAAGGUGGGGAUGACGUCAAGUCAUCAUGCCCCUUAUGUCCAGGGCUUCACACGUGCUACAAUGGCCGGUACAAAGGGCUGCGAUGCCGCGAGGUUAAGCGAAUCCUUUUAAAGCCGGUCUCAGUUCGGAUCGGGGUCUGCAACUCGACCCCGUGAAGUCGGAGUCGCUAGUAAUC
rnacentral:rRNA from 1 species